rnacentral:rRNA from 1 species
UACGUAGGGGGCAAGCGUUGUCCGGAUUUAUUGGGCGUAAAGAGCGUGUAGGCGGCCAAACAGGUCCACUGUGAAAACUCGAGGCUCAACCUCGAGAGGUCGGUGGAAACCGUAUGGCUAGAGUCCGGAAGAGGAGAGUGGAAUUCCCGGUGUAGCGGUGAAAUGCGUAGAUAUCGUAAGGAAGACCAGUGGCGAAGGCGGGUCUCUGGACAGUUCCUGACGCUGACGGGCAC